AGACCAAGUUGACUUUUUAGUAAAAAGGCUAAAAUAUUUCUUAUAGACGAGAAGACCCUAUAAAACUUUAUAAUUCAAUAUUUUUAGAGAAGAUUGAACUAUUUUGCUGGGGCGNCGGAAAAAAGAUCCUUUUUUAAAUUUAAAGAUUAUAAAUCUUAGUAUCUAAAAUUUUUAAAAGAAGAACAAGUUACUUUAGGGAUAACAGCUUUAUUCAUUUAAAAAGNCCUAAUUGACAAAUGANNUUGUGACCUCGAUGUUGAAUUAAAAGCCCUUUUUAGUGCAAAAGCUAUUANAGGAGGUCUGUUC
rnacentral:rRNA from 1 species